GAUGAACGCUGGCGGCGUGCCUAAUACAUGCAAGUCGAGCGAACAGAUGAGGAGCUUGCUCCUCUGACGUUAGUGGCGGGCGGGUGAGUAACACGUGGAUAACCUACCUAUAAGACUGGGAUAACUUCGGGAAACCGGAGCUAAUACCGGAUAAUAUAUUGAACCGCAUGGUUCAAUAGUGAAAGACGGUUUUGCUGUCACUUAUAGAUGGAUCCGCGCCGCAUUAGCUAGUUGGUAAGGUAACGGCUUACCAAGGCAACGAUGCGUAGCCGACCUGAGAGGGUGAUCGGCCACACUGGAACUGAGACACGGUCCAGACUCCUACGGGAGGCAGCAGUAGGGAAUCUUCCGCAAUGGGCGAAAGCCUGACGGAGCAACGCCGCGUGAGUGAUGAAGGUCUUCGGAUCGUAAAACUCUGUUAUUAGGGAAGAACAAAUGUGUAAGUAACUAUGCACGUCUUGACGGUACCUAAUCAGAAAGCCACGGCUAACUACGUG
rnacentral:rRNA from 1 species